CCUACGGGUGGCAGCAGUGGGGGAUAUUGCACAAUGGGGGAAACCCUGAUGCAGCGACGCCGCGUGGGUGAAGAAGUAUUUCGGUAUGUAAAGCCCUAUCAGCAAGGAAGAAAGAAGACGGUACCUGACUAAGAAGCCCCGGCUAACUACGUGCCAGCAGCCGCGGUAAUACGUAGGGGGCGAGCGUUAUCCGGAUUCACUGGGGGUAAAGGGAGCGUAGACGGCGAUGCAAGUCUGAAGUGAAAGGCGGGGGCCCCACCCCUGGACUGCUUUGGAAACUGUAUGGCUGGAGUGCAGGAGAGGUAAGUGGAAUGCCUAGUGUAGCGGUGAAAUGCGUAGAUAUUAGGAGGAACACCAGUGGCGAAGGCGGCUUACUGGACUGUAACUGACGUUGAGGCUCGAAAGCGUGGGGAGCAAACAGGAUUAGAUACCCUUGUAGUC
rnacentral:rRNA from 1 species